AUCUGCAAAAGAUUCUUGCUUUUUGAUAAUUUUGAUCCAUUUGAGAUCCAUCUAGUUCUAAUAUUGGUAAAUAAUUUAUCUGUUGGUAAAAGAUUGAGGUAAAAGAUCAUCUUUUUAUGCUCAAAUUGUGAUAUUCUUGAAAAAUUGAGGUCAAAGAUCAUCUUUUUAUGCUCAAAUUUUGAUAUUCUUGAAAAAUUGAGGUGCCCAUCUGCAAAAGAUCCUUGCUUUUUGAUAAAUUUUGUUCUAUUUGAGAUCCAUUUGUUCUAAUAUUGGUAAGUAAUUUAACUGUUAGUAAAAAAUUGAGGUAAAAGAUCAUAGUUUUAUGCUCAAAUUUUGAUAUUCUUGAAAAAUUCAGGUACCCAUCUGCAAAAGAUCAUUGCUUUUUGAUAAGUUCUGUUCUAUUUGAGAUCCAUUUAGUUCUAAUAUUGGUAAAUAAUCUGUCUGUUGGUAAAAGAUUGAGGUAAGUGAUCAUCUUUUUAUGCUCAAAUUCAGAUAUUCUUGAAAAUUUGAGUUCAAAGAUCAUCCUUUUAUACUCAAAUUUUGAUAUUCUUGAAAAAUUGAGGUACCCAUCUGCAAAGGAUCCUUGCUUUUUGAUAAAUUUUGUUCCAUUUGAGAUCCAUUUAGUUCUAAUAUUGGUAAUAAUU